AUAGCGUAUAUUAAAGUUGUUGCAGUUAAAAAGCUCGUAGUUGGAUCUCAGGCGCAGGCGGGCGGUCCGGCUCGCGCCGGUUCACUGCCCGUUGUCUCCUGCCCUACCGUCUGCCGGCUCUCUCCCGUGGGUGCUCUUCACUGAGCGUCCCGGGUGGCCGGCGCGUUUACUUUGAAAAAAUUAGAGUGUUCAAAGCAGGCCUCAGCUGCCUGAAUAAUGGUGCAUGGAAUAAUGGAAUAGGACCUCGGUUCUAUUUUGUUGGUUUUCGGAACUGGAGGUAAUGAUUAACAGGGACAAACGGGGGCAUUCGUAUUGCGGCGUUAGAGGUGAAAUUCUUGGAUCGCCGCAAGACGAGCUACUG
rnacentral:rRNA from 1 species